rnacentral:lncRNA from 1 species
UUUAAAAAUUUGCAUACAUUAAGGUUCACUUUUUGUGCCAUACAUUUCCAUGGAUUUCAACAAAGGCAUCAUGUCAUGUUUCUACUAUGCCAUUGUUAUUUGUAUUUAACAGAGAUUUUUAUGGUGUUUUCUAUGUGAUAGACACUAACUCAUUUAAUCCUUUUAGCAACAUUAUUAGACAGUUCCCGUUAGCACAUCAUCUCUGGUACAGGCAAAAAAGUUAAGACAAUCACAAAGCUAACAUGAGUGGAUCUGGGUUGAGAAACUAGAACAUCUAUGCUCCUAACUGCUGCAUUAUCCUGCCUCUUUGGUGUCAUAAUCAUUUCUUCUACUUUGCUUUUAUGGCAUUCUUCUAUUCUUUCUCUUCAUCCUAAAACAAUUUCCUUUUAGUCACACAUUGAAUUUAACUCUGACCUGCUACACCUCUUUACCAGCUCUUCCAAAUGUUUGCUUUUUUUCAUUUCAAUAUGUUUAUUUUCCACAAAAUAUCUAAUCAUCAUUCUAAUAAAAGUUUUGAAACCAGUCUCUCCUCUUGCCUUUCCUGGUUUUAUUCCUGGGUCUGCAUGUUCCCCGACACCAGGAUAGAGAGGUCAGUGUCAUCUUUUAUUCUGUCCAUGCCAGUUCCUGCCAGUUUUGCCUCAAUCAUUCUCAUGUUUGCCCCUGUCUUUCCAUUCUUAUGGUCACUAGUUCCUUGAUUAGGUUAUUUUAUGAACCUCUUAUUCUAUGUACAGUCACUGCAGGUCAUCAGUAUGCUCAAGAACUUCAAUGGUAUUCCCAUACCUGCUGGAUUUAGAAUAGAUUCUUUACUCUAGCAUUUCAGUCCCUCCAUAUUCUUUUUUUUUAAUUUUUAUUUAUUUAUGAUAGAGAUAGAGAGAGAGAGAAAGAGGCAGAGACACAGGCAGAGGGAGAAGCAGGCUCCAUGCACCAGGAGCCCGACGUGGGAUUCGAUCCCGGGUCUCCAGGAUCGCGCCCUGGGCCAAAGGCAGGCGCCAAACCGCUGUGCCACCCAGGGAUCCCCUCCCUC